ACUGCUCAGUAACACGUGGACAACCUGCCCUUAGGACGGGGAUAAACCCGGGAAACUGGGUAUAAUACCCGAUAGGUCUCGAUUGCUGGAAUGCAUCGAGAUUUAAAGCUCCGGCGCCUAAGGAUGGGUCUGCGGCCUAUCAGGUAGUAGUGGGUGUAGCGUACCUACUAGCCUACGACGGGUACGGGUUGUGAGAGCAAGAGCCCGGAGAUGGAUUCUGAGACACGAAUCCAGGCCCUACGGGGUGCAGCAGGCGCGAAAACUUUACAAUGCUGGCAACAGCGAUAAGGGAACCUCGAGUGCCAGGUUACAAAUCUGGCUGUCGAGAUGCCUAAAAAGCAUUUCACAGCAAGGGCCGGGCAAGACCGGUGCCAGCCGCCGCGGUAACACCGGCGGCUCGAGUGGUAACCGUUAUUAUUGGGUCUAAAGGGUCUGUAGCCGGCCGGAUAAGUCUCUUGAGAAAUCUGGCAGCUUAACUGUCAGGCUUUCAGGAGAUACUGUCUGGCUCGAGGCCGGGAGAGGUGAGAGGUACUUCAGGGGUAGGGGUGAAAUCUUGUAAUCCUUGAAGGACCACCAGUGGCGAAGGCGUCUCACCAGAACGGACCUGACGGCAAGGGACGAAAGCUAGGGGCACGAACCGGAUUAGAUACCCGGGUAGUCCUAGCCGUAAACGAUACUCGCUAGGUGUCGGCCACGGUGCGACCGUUGUCGGUGCCGUAGGGAAGCCGUGAAGCGAGCCACCUGGGAAGUACGGCCGCAAGGCUGAAACUUAAAGGAAUUGGCGGGGGAGCAC
rnacentral:rRNA from 1 species